AUGUGUCUCAAAGCUCAAGUUGGGAAAAUGCUGCUUUUAUUUCCAAUUGUUUUCCUUUCAACCAUCUUUGGGGGUGUCCAAUCAGAGGUUCGGCUGGAGGAGUCUGGAGGAGAUGCCAAAAAGCCUAGCGAGUCUCUCCGUCUCUCCUGUCAAGCCUCUGGGUACACCUUUAGCAGCUACUGGAUGAGCUGGGUAAGACAGGCUCCCGGGAAGGGUCUGGAAUAUGUGGCAGAAAUAAAUCCAGAGUCCACUACCUUUCGCUACGGGGAUAAAGUGAAGGGACGAUUCACCAUCUCCAGGGACAAUUCAAACAGUUUGUUGUAUCUGCAAAUGAACAACCUGAAGCCCGAGGACACGGCUCUGUAUUACUGUACAAGAGCACACAGUGAGAGGAAGUGAAUCUGAAGCCUGGCAAAAACCCUCCUUCACUCAUGGCUGCUAAAUUUAUUAAGCUGCAAGAGACUAAAGAGAUUGAUUCCGGUCGCUGGGACAAUAGUUUGAUCUUGUGUUACCAUUCAGAGAUAGACAGAAAUCCAUCUCUACAGCGGUAAAUGUGUGGGCUCUCUCUAGACAUGUUAUAAUACAUACAUAGCUAGGUCAGGGGCAAAGCCUGCCAUUAUAAUGCUGCUCUUAAUUCAGAUUGUGAUUGUUUCAGAUAUGAACGGGAUCCAGAAAAACGAUUCUCACCUUUCCUCUCUCUUUGUCUCUCUAUUCAUGAGCUACCAAACUACACUUGCUUUUCACACAGAGAGAGUAAUUGCUAGUUCCCUGCAGGAUAGAUUUAUUCCCCAUUCAGAAAAUCUCAUAUUAAAUGUAAUUGAAAAGACUUUACACCCUGAAAAAGAGACAAUGAAUGUACUUUU